CCCACACAGGCAAGGACAGCGACAGCAGGAGAACACUGACAUAGUUACACUCUUGUCGCCAGCACUUUUAUUAAGACAUUGUGAAAAGACAAAGACAACAGAGGAGAGCAGAGAAUAAUGUCUCUGUUUCAGCUAUUCCAGGACCGUUGUGCCAAUCGUCCAGAGUCCUUGAUCCAAUGUAGUAAAGACUAGGGACAUUUUCCCUGAAGGCUUUGAUUGCUGGCAAAAUCUCAUUAAAGGUGUAUACAUUGAUAGGUUGGCCACAGGACGGAUAAAAGAAGAGCCCCUGGCCUACAUCUGCCAAGAUAUAUGUGUAAGAAUGCUCUCUGCAGCAUUAUUUUUUUAUUGUAAAAUAGCAGAAUGAAUUUAUUAUUCAAUAAUUAUAAAAUGUUCAAAUGUAUGUGACUAUAUUCGGACAAUGAAAAACGCAGCUGUUAAAAGUAGACAACACUGAUGAUUCAGAUGUUACUGAUGAAAAUAAUCACAGAUGACAAUUAUUGAGCAUUUAUGGCACUUUUACCUGCAUGACCUUAUUUCAAGUUCAGAACAACCAAGGCAAAGAGUAACUUGUGGCGGGCGUGAGAGGUUCCGAGGCACAAAAGGAAGACAGGCAUUCAAGGAACACGAGGAUAGAAGACCCGCAGUAGGAGAAGAGAGAGGAAGAGGAGUCCGCCAGGUGGGAUGCUGGAAGGCGCGGGAUAGCUCGGCGGAGAGAGGGCGCUCCUGCUCCGCAAGCCGCCCUGCGACCGCAGGCCUCCCGCUGCCUUCUUCCAGGAAGACGGCCCUGCUUUCCUCUGGUCUCGGUUGAGACGCUGCAAAGCGCAUCGUCCUCGAGCAUUUCUCUUCUCCCCAAGACCCUCCGGAGGAAGGAUGGGCGGACGGAAGCUUCACCCCUAAGUGGUCAAACGCGCAGAGCUCCGCAUUCUUCAGGAGCAUUUCCCAACUGUCUCUCACGGGUAAGAGUGGGCCCUGCAGGAUGUUGCCUCCGGUUCCCUGAGGAGCAGUGCCGGAGAUGCCCACGUGACCAGCUCCCGGGCCACGCGACCCAGGCCCUCCAGGAGGAGCAAGGAGUCCUGGGCCCUGAGCCAGCCCCCUGGACCGGCUGUGCCAAGAGAAGCAGCAAGGGAAGCGGUCCCCUCCCGCCUCAGGGUCUCUGUCCUCCUGGAGUUAAGAGACGUGCAUCCAAUCCCCUCUGCAAGUGCUGGAGAGGAGGCUAGGUCUUUCCCACGGGCUGGGGGCCUUGCUGUCCCAAGGACCGCUGGGGAGGAAGAGGAGGCAGAGGCGGAAGAGGAAGCCAGCUGAGAUGUGUGAAGCAGCUCUGGCUACAGCGGGUAGGGAGAGGGCCCACGGGACCCAGGAGCCUCCGUGCGGAGCCAGGCCUCAGCAGCAGCCGCCUUGUUCCUGGAAGGGGUGCCUCCAUCCAUCUUGUCCUCAAAGACUGUAGGGAGACCUUCUUGCCCGUUGGGAAAGCGACGUCUCCCAUGCUUUCCUACCACGCAGGCCUGGUGUCCUUUCUCCUGCUAGUGUCUGCCCGCCAGCCUGCCGGGGCUGCGGCGGCGGCUGUUCCACGCUCUCGGUGGACGCUGCCUGCCCGCCAGCCAAGAGCGCGGUUGCAGGCGGGAGUUGGGGAGUCCCGAAGGAGACCCAAGGUCUUGUUCAGUGCUUUUUUGCUAUAGUCAAAUUCAGCGUGUAAAAGAGAGCUCACGUCUGUCUGUUCGUGAGCUUCUGUGAGAACACCAAGGAAGCACACUCAAGAUGCCUAGGAGGGCGGGAAGAGUCUCUGGCGGAGAUAUCCGCGUGGGCGUUGAGCCAAGGCAGGUAAAGGGAAAGGAGGGACAGCACAGCCUCCUCUCCAUUGGCCGGACGCUCAGGGUCACCACCUUCCCCUCUGCUCUCCCCUCGCCUUUCUUCCAAACCACUGUCCACUGAAGAUUCCACCGACAGUCACCCACCCGACAACCCAGGCCGCCUUUCAGCAGCGGCUCCCGCCCGGCAGCCACCACGCCUUCUCACCCCCUCGGUUCUGCCCGCCGCCUCUGCCCGGUCUGUGCACUUCACCUCCCUGGCUCCGGCUCCCCGCUGAGCUUACAGUGGACGCGGGGCAGGACGGGGCGAAGGCCAUUCGGCUGCCCCUCUAGCUUCGGAAUCACCCAAUGCACGGGUUUCCACCGUAGCCGGCAAGAUGCGCCUCUCCUGUUUUCCGAGGUUUUGGAGCCUGCACAAUUGUUCUACACAAGGCGGUGGCCCCGCCUAGCGUUGGAUGGGCGCUUGCUCUGCAUGGUGAUGUGGGAGUGGGGGUUGACUGCCCGUGUGUCUCAGUCGGGUGGUGUGCUUGCUUCCACGUCUGGAGUUGGCUGGUUCGAGUCCGUUCUAUGAAGUGUUUUUUUCAUUUUAAACAUUCUUAAACCGCUGGCAACUUUCUUCCAUCCAGCACACGCUCUCAUAGAAAAGAAGAGCCAGACCAACUUUACCCUCCUCUCCUCGGUGUCUACCGUACCAUAUGAGGACGUAAAUCAAGGUCCGCUAGGAUUCUGUUCUGGGAUCUCUCCAUCUCGCUCUCUCUGUGUCUCUCUCUUUGGUGACGGAGUCCCGCUCUGUCACCAGGCUGGAGUACAUUGGCACGAUCUUGACUCAUUGCAACCUCCGACUCUCUGGUUCAAGCGAGUCUCCUGCCUCAGCCUCCCGAGUAGCUGGGAUUAUAGGCACGCUCCACCACGCCCAGCUAAUUUUUGUAUUUUUAGUAGAGACAGGGUUUCACCAUGUUGGCCAGGAUGACUCUUGAUCUCCUGACCUCGUGAUCCACCCGCCUCGGCCUCCCAAAGUGCUAGGAUUACAGGCUUGAGCCACUGCACCUGGCCCUCUCUCUCUCUUUUUUUGUUUUUUAACUGUCAUUCAUGUAGCCCUUUCCAUACGCUUUUGAAGUUAAAUUGGUUCUAUGAUAUUACGAUUACAUAUAAUGCUCUAGUCAUUCCUGUAGGGGCAUUUUCAGCCACUGGUGUAAGUAUUUCUGUAGGAUAGAGGUGCAAUUACUAUAGGAAGAGCAAUUACUCUAUCAGUGUUCACAUGGUUUUUAUGUCAUUUCAUUCUUUCUCCUCUGUUGGCUUAUUGGCUUUAACUCUUUCUUUUGUUAUUUUAGUAAUUGCCUUAGGGCUUAUAGCUACCUUUUUAACUGAUCUCAACCUUCAAGUGAUGUUAAACCUCGCCUUCUGGCCUUGACGCUAUUGCUGACAUGUACUUUGCUUUUACGCAUGUUAUAAACCCCACAACCCAUUGUUAAUUGCUUUUGUUUAAAUGGUCAAAUUUUUACAAAAGAAAUUUACAAAAUAAGAAAAUACCCAUUUCUGGUGUUCUUCAUUUCCUCGUGCAGAUCUGGAUUUUCAUCUGGUAUUGGAUUCCUUCUGUUGUACACAUUGAUAGAACUGGGAAACAUAUUGGAAUAUGAUCUGUUACCGUUCCCAUGGAAGAUAAAUUUGCAGAAUGUACUCAAAUUAGAAGCAUUAAAUAAAUGCUGUAAUUAAAAAUGCCA